rnacentral:rRNA from 1 species
AAUGGGCGAAAGCCUGACCCAGCGACGCCGCGUGGGCGAUGAAGGCCUUCGGGUUGUAAAGCCCUGUCAUGCGGAAAGAACGACCCUGUGACGCAUACUCACAGGGAGUGACGGUACCGCAGGAGGAAGCACCGGCUAACUCCGUGCCAGCAGCCGCGGUAAUACGGAGGGUGCAAGCGUUGUUCGGAAUUAUUGGGCGUAAAGGGCGCGUAGGCGGUAAUGUAAGUCAGAUGUGAAAUACUCCGGCUCAACCAGAGAAUUGCAUCUGAAACUACAUAACUAGAGUACAGAAGAGGGAAACGGAAUUCCCGGUGUAGAGGUGAAAUUCGUAGAUAUCGGGAGGAACACCAGUGGCGAAGGCGGUUUCCUGGUCUGAUACUGACGCUGAGGCGCGAAAGUGUGGGGAGCAAA